rnacentral:rRNA from 1 species
UACGGAGGGUGCGAGCGUUGUCCGGAAUUAUUGGGCGUAAAGAGCGUGUAGGCGGCCAAGCAGGUCCGCUGUGAAAACUCGAGGCUCAACUUCGAGCUGUCGGUGGAAACUUUCUGGCUAGAGUCCGGAAGAGGAGAAUGGAAUUCCUGGUGUAGCGGUGAAAUGCGCAGAUAUCAGGAAGAACACCCGUGGCGAAGGCGGUUCUCUGGGACGGUACUGACGCUGAGACGCGAAAGCGUGGGGAGCAAACGGG